rfam:Salmo salar isolate Sally breed double haploid chromosome ssa02, whole genome shotgun sequence.
UAUUCCAUCUACUGUAAGUUGCUCUGGAUAAGAGUGUCUGCUAAAUGACUAAAA